CAAGGCAACAGCAAGAAGACCAGAACAAUGACAGCACAGUGUGGGAAAUGGAGAGGAAGGGUAGAAGGAAUGGCAAGGAAAGGCCAUUCUCCUCAGAAGAGUGGCAGCCAGGCUCCUGGAAGUCCCAUGCCAGUCCUGGUCUUAGCUCAGCCCUCAUCUAUCUCCGUGUUUGUCCGACAGUCUGGCAGGAAAAAUCGUAUGAGAAAGCACUUUGAAAAGUUAAAAGCAUCCUACAGAUGCAAAGUAAUAUUAUUCCAUUAUCGUUAAUCAGCAUCAACAUAAUUCAUCCAAGAGCAGGAAGUACUUCAUAUUCAGACAAGUGAGGAAGACGGUCUGGAGUUAUCUAUCUUCUCCAACUAGACUAUGCACUCUUCUAAAGCAAGGGCCAUGCCAUAUUCAUUUUUUGCAUGUGGCACGAAACCCAGCAUUCCCAUAUCCAGAAACAUUCAUUUUUGUCAGGAGUCCUGGUGGGUGACUGGGUGUUAAGUGCCCUCUAAAUAACUUCUAUUCAUUCUAAUCUGAUAACCAUGAGACUUGGUCCUAAGAGAAGAAAACGUGUUUUACUUUUUCUACUUAUACUGUUUCUCCGAUAAAUUCUAAUCCUAUAAAACCGUUUAACUUCUAUCAUAUUUCUAGAAAAUCAAGCAAGCGUUGAGAUAAGUAAGCACAUCUCAAAACCUUUAAGCUUUGUUGACUGGCCUCUUCCAUGAACCUAAAGGUGCAGCUGAAAUGGGCCCUCACCUCUCCUAACAUUUUGAAAAUAAGAAUAUUCGAAGUAAUUCACUGACUCCACAUGCCCCUCUACACCCUCCCCCCCAGAUACCACUUGACUCUUCCUCACCGUGUUCCAGCCCCAGUGCACUCAGCCUAGCCAAGUCCAAGGCUAGCCAAUGGCCCAUCCCUUCAGUAUACUCAGGAAUCCAACCACAAGCUCGCCAAAGGCAGAAAACAGGUUCUGUUGGUCUAGUGAUUCCUAGCAUGGUAUCAGAGACCCUGUUCACUGAAUGUUAACUAAAUUGGGAAACCAUCACUAUUUUUAAAAAGUUAUUGACAAGAUCAAAAUGACUGUUUUAUGUCUGUUUAAUUAACAGUUUUUAUGACAUGGCUGACCUUCCUAUCUAGAAAAUUGUGGCAGAACCUUGAUUAUGCAAAUGUAAUACAUUACAUGAAAAAUCACAUUUACAUAGAAAGCAAGUAACAAGUUACAAAUUUUUGAAAUAUUCUUUCAUUAUUUAAAGUGUUGCAGGAGUUCCCAUUGUGGCUCAACAGGUUGCAAACCUGACUAUAUCCAUGAGGAUUCAGGUUUGAUCGCUGGCCUCACUCAGCGGGGGAUAAGGAUCCAGCAUUACCGUCAGCUGCGGCACAGGUCGCAGACAUGGUUCGAAUCCCAGGCUGUGCCUGUGGCAUAGGUGGGAAGCUGCAGCUCCAAUUUGACCCCUAGCCUGGGAACUUCCAUAUGCUGCAGGGGCCCUAAAAAGCAAAAAAUAAUAAUAAUAAAUAAAACAAACGUAUUGCACAAUCAGUUUGAAAUUACAGCCUUGUUUACCAUCAAACAAGUUGGAAGUCUUCAGCCACAUCAAAAUCACUUCCCCUCCCUAAGCUUCAGUUUAUCCAUUUAUAAACUGGGAGUGCUGGAGAUAAAGAAUGUACUUUGAAAAUUUCUAUAAGGAAUAGAAAGAAGUAUAACAAUAUAGUCCCCGACACAUAGUAGGGCCUCGGGUAGUAAUAAUAAUUAUUUACAUUGUAAUUCCUUCACAUGUCUACUUACCAGUAAUAAUUAAAGCAAACCCUCAUACAACACUUUAUACACCAGUCAUUUAAUCCACACAGUACCCUACGAGGUAGUGUUACAGGUUAAACUGUGUCCCUCCCCAAAUUCAUGUUAAAAUUCUAAACACUAGUACCUAAGAUUAUGACCUGAUUUGUAAAUAGGGCCAUUGCAGAUGACUUCAUAUUGGAGAUGAGGUUGAGAUGAGGAUAUACAGAGUAGAAUGGGCCCCUAAUCCAAUAUGGCAUGUGUUCUUAUAAAAAGGGGAGAGUUAGAUGGAGACAUGCCCUAGGGGAUAAAACCAUGUGAAGAUAAAGGCAGGGAUCAGAAAUGCCAAAGAUUGCCACUAAACCUCCAAAAGACCUCAGAAGGAACCACCUGCCAAACACCUUGAUCUAAGAUGUCAAGCCUCCAGAACUGUGACACCAUAAAUGUCUAUUGCUUAAGUCACCUAGUUGGAGGUAUUUUAGUAGAGCAGCCCCUGAAAACUAAUAUAGGUGGGUAUUCUUAGGAUCUCUAUUUUAAAGCUGGGGAGCAGAGGCAUGGGAGUUUGUUAUUCUAUCAAAAGAGAGAGACCUAUCUACUUCCGGUUCUAAGAAAAUAACCCUGAUUUUCAUAGGCAUCCAAAGCAAGCAAAGUACUUACCCAUCUGUGUGAGUUUGGGCACUGAAAAUAGAGGGGGUACCCAUUUUCUUCCUUUGAACAAUGGCUCUGAGCAGUUCUUGUUUUCUCUGGAGAGUCAGAGACCACCUGCUGAGGGACUGUCUCUUGGCACCUGCCUCUGCAGAGAGUGCCCAAGUCAGGCCCUGAUACCUCAGGUUGAAGCACUGGAGUCUCUGGAGAAGCUGAAGCCUACCCUUCCCAGGUCUGACCUGAGGGGGGGGGGGCUAUAUUUGAAGCAGGGAGGAGUAAGCUGUGAGCAUCUGAGUAUCUAAGCAGGCCCCUCCAGGGUGCUCUAGUGAAGGAAGUGUUUAAAUGUAAAUUUGAUUGAUUUGCUAUUAUCAUGUGUAUUCCUCAUUUUCCUUGGGCCCUCUGGGAAGAUGAGAAAGAAAAUCCACUCAUUCCUGAUAAAUUGAUCUUGGAAACCCUGGUUAAAAAGCUGAGACUGUCUAUUCAAUUCUUCCAAAGCAACAACCUUUUGAAGCGACUGCAAACUUUCUCGUGGCUGCCUCAGUUAACUAUUAAAUGUGUUUCAAAGAUUGAAUGUUCCUGGAACUGCCUCACAGAAAAACUCAGGUGUAGAGCCUAGUUUAUAAAAUAACAGCAGGAGAUUCCAGUAAGAGGGUCAGAGGAAGGGACACUGCAUACCAGACUUUGGUCAGAAACAGGCAUUUCUGUUAGGAUUGUGUGGAUCAGCAAAGCCCAGGCUUCCCAACUUCCCAAUGGCCUGGAAGAGACUCUGAAACCCCACUGGGAAAGAGCCAGUAAUUUUGGGUAAUUUCUCAGCAUGAUAUUAAAACUGCAAAUACCCAUGCUUCCAAGCCAGGAGCCAAAAUUUCUCCAGGAGAAUGUUCUGGCUCACAAUGGAAUGAGGAGGUGGGAUCUCAGAUCCUAGUGGGCAAAACAGCAAUUUAGAAGCUCCCAGGCCAGCACAGAAGAAUUUGAGAGAAAGAGAAGCAGGUAAGUACCUGGAAAAAGGUGGAUGGUCCGAGAGUGGUUUCCUCACCCUCAGAGCAAGCCUCAAAGAGGCAGCCUGUAGCAUCAAAGCACAUGCCCUGGACCACAGAGACCAGCACCUGAGUCAAGGCUCUCCCAACUAAUAAGCAUUUGCUGUUCUUGGGCACAUUAUUUAACCUCCCUCCCAACCUACGUGUUUACAUCUAUUUAAUAAGAAAAAUAAUACCAAUGGCAGAACUUCUUCAACUUUAAAAAAAUGACUAACCCUUAAGGAGCCUCUUUAGAGAUAUUAAAUUGCCACCCAUUACAUUUUAACACAACAUACACACUGCAUAUGUUUCUAUAUUGUAUGUAUAUAUGUGUUUUACACAUAAAGAUUAUUUGUUCCCAAGAAUCAUUUUUACCCUUGACCUGCUAUGUGCGUACCCCCCUGAAUUCAUAUAUUGAAUCUCUACUCUGGUGUAUUUGGAAGAGAGGCCUCUGGAAGAUAAUCAGGGCUUGAAAGUGGAAACCUAAUGAUGCAAUUAGCACCUUAUAAGAAGAGGAAGAGAGCCAGUCCUUUCUCUCUGUAUUUCCACCCUGUGAAGCUCCAAGGAAGAAGGUGCUCACCAGACACUGGAUCUUGGACUUCUCAGCUUCUGAAAUUGUGAGAAAUAAAGUUUUAUUGUUUAAAACCACCAAUGAACAGUAAUUUGUUAUAGCGGCCUAAGCUAAGAUCAGGCCCUACCGAUAAUACAUGCCACAUAAGGUGGUUCUUAAAGAAUAAAUGAUACACUGUAGAUGAAGUUAUUAGCACAGUGCUAACACUAACCCAUCAGGCAUGAGCACUGCCCAUUCAGAACAGAUAAAUGCUCUAAACAAUGGGUCAUCCAUACCACCGCAUGACCUGUGCGGUAGAUCAAUUUAGUGGUCACCAUUCUUCACUCUCCUGUAGAAGCGCUAUCCACCCACGCCUUGCCUUGGCCUCAUGGCUGGUGGAUGCCCUUCCUCACUCCUCACUUUUGGGUUUGCUUGUGAGCUUACUGGCCAAUGGAUGUUAGGUUAUUCUUAACUUUUUUUUUUUUUUUAGGGCCAUACUGGCGGCACGUGGAGCUUCCCCACAGCUCAUGGCAAUGCCAGAUCCUUAACUCACUAAGUGAGGCCAGGGAUUGAACCUGCAUCCACAUGGAUACUAGUCAGAUUCAUUUCUGCCGAGCCACAAUAGGAACUCAACUAAAACUUUUGUCUUUUUUAUAAUGUUGCUGCAAAUCCACAUCUCAUGCAUCCUAUCCCUAUGCAGGUGAUUUCUGGAAUUGAUUAACUAUUAAUUUUAAUCAUAUUAAAUAAUGGCAAAUCUAACUAAACAGAGCUUUUCCAGUGCUAACACUGCACAAAUUGGUAGUUCCAAUAUUUAUACUAUUAUCACUGGAAAGGAAUUUGGGAGGAAGUGACAGAAAGAAGAAACCAGGAGGGGUGGCUGCAGUACAGCAGCAGCAAACAUGAACUGAGCAUUUACUA
rnacentral:lncRNA from 1 species